rnacentral:rRNA from 1 species
CAGUCGCCGCGGUAAAACGUAGGUGGCAAGCGUUGUCCGGAAUUAUUGGGCGUAAAGGGCUCGCAGGCGGUUUCUUAAGUCUGAUGUGAAAGCCCCCGGCUCAACCGGGGAGGGUCAUUGGAAACUGGGAAACUUGAGUGCAGAAGAGGAGAGUGGAAUUCCACGUGUAGCGGUGAAAUGCGUAGAGAUGUGGAGGAACACCAGUGGCGAAGGCGACUCUCUGGUCUGUAACUGACGCUGAGGAGCGAAAGCGUGGGGAGCGAACAGGAUUAGAUACCCCAGUAGUCCAUGUCUCUUAUAC